rnacentral:tmRNA from 1 species
CCUUGCCAUAUCAAGCAAAGCUGCCUAUAUCUCUCGGUGCCGGAGGUUUCGACCUUGGCUAUGGCGAUAAACGGUAGAUGAAAUAAGUGUUGUGGACCCGGGGGCAGUGCCCGGCGUCUCCACCAUCAGCCUUACAGGCUGACGCUAUGGGGACGAAACAGGCUCGACACGCAUGGUAAAGAUCUACUUUUUGCCCGGUAUUGUUCCGCCGUCAUCGGGCUGACUUUACAAGUGCCAACGAUAACUCUGAGGUGCUCGCUGUUGCUGCAUAAGCGAUAAGCGCGGUUCGGGGGGUGCACCGGGCAACAGAAGCCCCC